UGAAUUUAAGCAUAUUAAUUAGGGGAGGAAAAGAAACUAACAAGGAUUUUCUUAGUAGCGGCGAGCGAAAGAAAACAGUUCAGCACUAAGUCACUUUGUCUAUAUGGCAAAUGUGAGAUGCAGUGUAUGGAGCGUCAAUAUUCUAGUAUGAGAAAUUAAUGAUUUAAGUCCUUCUUAAAUGAGGGCCAUUUACCCAUAGAGGGUGCCAGGCCCGUAUAACGUUAAUGAUUACUAGAUGAUGUUUCCAAAGAGUCGUGUUGCUUGAUAGUGCAGCACUAAGUGGGUGGUAAACUCCAUCUAAAACUAAAUAUAACCAUGAGACCGAUAGUAAACAAGUACCGUGAGGGAAAGUUGAAAAGAACUCUGAAUAGAGAGUUAAACAGUACGUGAAACUGCUUAGAGGUUAAGCCCGAUGAACCUGAAUAUCCGUUAUGGAAAAUUCAUCAUUAAAAUUGUAAUAUUUAAAUAAUAUUAUUAAGAAUAAUGUGCAUUUUUUCCAUAUAAGGACAUUGUAAUCUAUUAGCAUAUCCCAAAUUUAUCAUAAAAUAUAACUUAUAGUUUAUUCCAAUUAAAUUGCUUGCAUUUUAAACAGAAUAAAUGUUAUUAAUUUGAUAAAGUGCUGAUAGAUUUAUAUUAUUACAGAGCGUUAAUUUUUCGGAAUUAUAUAAUGGCAUAAUUAUCAUUGAUUUUUGUGUUUAUUAUAUGCUCUUGUAUGAUUAACAAUGCGAAAGAUUCAGGAUACCUUCGGGACCCGUCUUGAAACACGGACCAAGGAGUCUAACAUAUGUGCAAGUUAUUGGGAUGUAAACCUAAUAGCGUAAUUAACUUGACUAAAUUCAGGAUACCUUCGGGACCCGUCUUGAAACACGGACCAAGGAGUCUAACAUAUGUGCAAGUUAUUGGGAUGUAAACCUAAUAGCGUAAUUAACUUGACUAAUAAUGGGAUUAGUUUUUUAGCUAUUUAUAGCUAAUUACACAAUCCCGGGGCGUUCUAUAUAGUUAUGUAUAAUGUAUAUUUAUAUUAUUUAUGCCUCUAAACUGGAACGUACCUUGAGCAUAUAUGCUGUGACCCGAAAGAUGGUGAACUAUACUUUGAUCAGCGUUGAAGUCAGGGGAAACCCCUGAUGGAAGACCGAAACAGUUUCUGACGUGCAAAUCGAUUGUCAGAAUUGAGUAUAGGGGCGAAAGACCAAUCGAACCAUCUAGUAGCUGGUUCCUUCCGAAGUUUCCCUCAGGAUAGCUGGUGCAUUUUAAUAUUAUAUAAAUAAUCUUAUCUGGUAAAGCGAAUGAUUAGAGGCCUUAGGGUCGAAACGAUCUUAACCUAUUCUCAAACUUUAAAUGGGUAACCCUUAACUUUCUUGAUAUGAAGUUCAAGGUUAUGAUAUAAUGUGCCCAGUGGGCCACUUUGGUAAGCAGAACUGGCGCUGUGGGAUGAACAAACGUAAUGUUACGGUGCCCAAAUUAACACUCAUGCAGAUACCAUGAAAGGCGUUGGUUGCUUAAAACAGCAGGACGGUGAUCAUGGAAGUCGAAAUCCGCUAAGGAGUGUGUAACAAUCACCUGCCGAAGCAACUAGCCCUUAAAAUGGAUGCGCUUAAGUUGUAUACCUAUACAUUACCGCUAAAGUAGAUGAUUUAUAUUACUUGUGAUAUAAUUUUGAAACUUUAGUGAGUAGGAAGGUACAAUGGUAUGCGUAGAAGUGUUUGGCGUAAGCCUGCAUGGAGCUGCCAUUGGUACAGAUCUUGGUGGUAGUAGCAAAUAAUCGAAUGAGACCUUGGAGGACUGAAGUGGAGAAGGGUUUCGUGUGAACAGUGGUUGAUCACGAGUUAGUCGGUCCUAAGUUCAAGGCGAAAGCCGAAAAUUUUCAAGUAAAACAAAAAUGCCUAACUAUAUAAACAAAGCGAAUAUAAUACACUUGAAUAAUUUUGAACGAAAGGGAAUACGGUUCCAAUUCCGUAACCUGUUGAGUAUCCGUUUGUUAUUAAAUAUGGGCCUCGUGCUCAUCUGGCAACAGGAACGACCAUAAAGAAGCCGUCGAGAGAUAUCGGAAGAGUUUUCUUUUCUGUUUUAUAGCCGUACUACCAUGGAAGUCUUUCGCAGAGAGAUAUGGUAGAUGGGCUAGAAGAGCAUGACAUAUACUGUUGUGUCGAUAUUUUCUCCUCGGACCUUGAAAAUUUAUGGUGGGGACACGCAAACUUCUCAACAGGCCGUACCAAUAUCCGCAGCUGGUCUCCAAGGUGAAGAGUCUCUAGUCGAUAGAAUAAUGUAGGUAAGGAAGUCGGCAAAUUAGAUCCGUAACUUCGGAUAAGGAUUGGCUCUGAAGAUUGAGAUAGUCGGGCUUGAUUGGGAAACAAUAACAUGGUUUAUGUGCUCGUUCUGGGUAAAUAGAGUUUCUAGCAUUUAUGUUAGUUACUUGUUCCCCGGAUAGUUUAGUUACGUAGCCAAUUGUGGAACUUUCUUGCUAAAAUUUUUAAGAAUACUAUUUGGGUUAAACCAAUUAGUUCUUAUCAAUUAUAACGAUUAUCAAUUAACAAUCAAUUCAGAACUGGCACGGACUUGGGGAAUCCGACUGUCUAAUUAAAACAAAGCAUUGUGAUGGCCCUAGCGGGUGUUGACACAAUGUGAUUUCUGCCAGUGCUCUGAAUGUCAAAGUGAAGAAAUUCAAGUAAGCGCGGGUCAACGGCGGGAGUAACUAUGACUCUCUUAAGGUAGCCAAAUGCCUCGUCAUCUAAUUAGUGACGCGCAUGAAUGGAUUAACGAGAUUCCUACUGUCCCUAUCUACUAUCUAGCGAAACCACAGCCAAGGGAACGGGCUUGGAAUAAUUAGCGGGGAAAGAAGACCCUUUUGAGCUUGACUCUAAUCUGGCAGUGUAAGGAGACAUAAGAGGUGUAGAAUAAGUGGGAGAUAUUAGACCUCGGUUUGGUAUCGUCAAUGAAAUACCACUACUCUUAUUGUUUCCUUACUUACUUGAUUAAAUGGAACGUGUAUCAUUUCCUAGCCAUUAUACGGAUAUAUUUAUUAUAUCUUAUGGUAUUGGGUUUUGAUGCAAGCUUCUUGAUCAAAGUAUCACGAGUUUGUUAUAUAAUCGCAAACAAAUUUUUAAUAAAACGAUGCAUUUAUGUAUUUUUGAUUUGAAAAUUUGGUAUAACUCCAAUUACUCAGGUAUGAUCCAAUUCAAGGACAUUGCCAGGUAGGGAGUUUGACUGGGGCGGUACAUCUCUCAAAUAAUAACGGAGGUGUCCCAAGGCCAGCUCAGUGCGGACAGAAACCACACAUAGAGCAAAAGGGCAAAUGCUGACUUGAUCUCGGUGUUCAGUACACACAGGGACAGCAAAAGCUCGGCCUAUCGAUCCUUUUGGUUUAAAGAGUUUUUAACAAGAGGUGUCAGAAAAGUUACCAUAGGGAUAACUGGCUUGUGGCGGCCAAGCGUUCAUAGCGACGUCGCUUUUUGAUCCUUCGAUGUCGGCUCUUCUAUCAUUGUGAAGCAAAAUUCACCAAGCGUUGGAUUGUUCACCCAUGCAAGGGAACGUGAGCUGGGUUUAGACCGUCGUGAGACAGGUUAGUUUUACCCUACUAAUGACAAAACGUUGUUGCGACAGCAUUCCUGCGUAGUACGAGAGGAACCGCAGGUACGGACCAAUGGCACAAUACUUGUUCGAGCGAACAGUGGUAUGACGCUACGUCCGUUGGAUUAUGCCUGAACGCCUCUAAGGUCGUAUCCGUGCUGGACUGCAAUGAUAAAUAAGGGGCAAUUUGCAUUGUAUGGCUUCUAAACCAUUUAAAGUUUAUAAUUUAUUUUAUAAACGACAAUGGAUGUGAUGCCAAUGUAAUUUGUAACAUAGUAAAUUAGGAGGAUCUUCGAUCACCUGAUGCCGCGCUAGUUACAUAUAAAAGCAUUAUUUAAUACAAUGACAAAGCCUAGAAUCAAUUGUAAACGACUUUUGUAACAGGCAAGGUGUUGUAAGUGGUUGAGCAGCUGCCAUACUGCGAUCCACUGAAGCUUAUCCUUUGCUUGAUGAUUCGA